rnacentral:tRNA from 1 species
UGGUGAAGAGAGGAAUUAAACCUCCAUGAAUAGGUCUACAGCCUACCGUCUAAACACUCGACCACUUUACC